rnacentral:snoRNA from 1 species
UUGCAUGUGGAAAUGCCUUCUCAUUCCUUUUGGAGCAGGAAUAAAUCCAUAACAUGUUACGUUAAAAAAGGAGUGUUCCGAGCUGCCAGCCUUACAGUAGAGGUUGAUUUGUGGUAGAUUUUUCCUAUACAA